ACGGCGCCCAUCAGGAGCGCCCCCCACUCCCAGGCCAGGCCACCCCGCGGACCGGGCCCUCCACGCGCCCAGGCGAGAUGCCAGCUCAGCAGGGGUGAGGCCAGAAGCAGGUGGGUGACUCACCUAGAGCUCCUCCUAGCCUCAGUUUACCCGCUGAUGCAACCAGAGGCCUCCUCAGCACUGGGCUCCCUCUGCUCCCCGUGGGCCGCUCCCCGCGUGGGGCCACUGCCCUUGGCCCCCGCCAUGGUGCGGAUUUCAAAGCCCAAGACGUUUCAGGCCUACUUGGAUGAUUGUCACCGGAGGUACAGCUGUGCCCACUGCCGUGCUCACCUGGCCAACCACGACGACCUCAUCUCCAAGUCCUUCCAGGGCAGUCAGGGGCGUGCCUACCUCUUCAACUCUGUGGUGAAUGUGGGUUGUGGGCCAGCAGAAGAGCGGGUGCUGCUG
rnacentral:lncRNA from 1 species